UACGUAGGGUGCAAGCGUUGUCCGGAAUUAUUGGGCGUAAAGAGCUUGUAGGCGGUUUGUCGCGUCUGCUGUGAAAUUUCGGGGCUCAACCCCGAACUUGCAGUGGGUACGGGCAGACUAGAGUGUGGUAGGGGAGACUGGAAUUCCUGGUGUAGCGGUGAAAUGCGCAGAUAUCAGGAGGAACACCGGCGGCGAAGGCGGGUCUCUGGGCCGAUACUGACGCUGAGGAGCGAAAGCGUGGGGAGCGAACAGG
rnacentral:rRNA from 1 species